CAUCCCACUUCAUCCCUGAAAUAUGUUCUUCCCCUGGGUGUCCGUUCUUACACUACUUCCAGCUCUGGAAGGGGCUAAUGGAGAGUCAGUGACACAACCUGAUGACGGAGUGACUGUAUCCCAAGGGGAACCAGUGCUGCUGAAAUGCACCUAUGACAACACCCCGAUUCCCACGCUCUGGUGGUACGAGCAGUACCCAAAUGAAGCCCCUCGCCUCUUGCUGACACAGUAUGAAACAUCAGAUGAGGAGGAGAGAAAGAGCAGGCGAGGAUUCUCCGCCACACCCGAGAAACAGGAGAGCUUCCACCUAAAGAAAAACUCGAGUGAACUGAGCGACUCUGCUGUCUACUACUGUGGCAUGAGCAACACAGUGAUUGCACCCAGCAGGGUUGCUGCACAAAAAACCACUAGGGGAAGAUGA